CCGGGUCGAGGCUGGCGAGCAUCACCGAAGUCCAGAGCGA
rnacentral:misc_RNA from 1 species